rnacentral:rRNA from 1 species
AUCGCGGCUAUCAUGCGAGGUCGAACGGGGUUUGCCAGCAAUGGCAAGCCUAGUGGCGCACGGGAUGCGGAACACGUGUGCAACCUGCCUUUAUCAGGGGGAUAGCCUUUCGAAAGGAAGAUUAAUACCCCAUAAUAUUUAGAAUGGCAUCAUUUUAAAUUGAAAACUCCGGUGGAUAGAGAUGGGCACGCGCAAGAUUAGAUAGUUGGUGAGGUAACGGCUCACCAAGUCUGCGAUCUUUAGGGGGCCUGAGAGGGUGAUCCCCCACACUGGUACUGAGACACGGACCAGACUCCUACGGGAGGCAGCAGUGAGGAAUAUUGGACAAUGGGUGCGAGCCUGAUCCAGCCAUCCCGCGUGAAGGAUGACGGCCCUAUGGGUUGUAAACUUCUUUUGUACAGGGAUAAACCUAGAUACGUGUAUCUAGCUGAAGGUACUGUACGAAUAAGCACCGGCUAACUCCGUGCCAGCAGCCGCGGUAAUACGGAGGGUGCAAGCGUUAUCCGGAUUUAUUGGGUUUAAAGGGUCCGUAGGCGGAUCUGUAAGUCAGUGGUGAAAUCUCACAGCUUAACUGUGAAACUGCCAUUGAUACUGCAGGUCUUGAGUGUUGUUGAAGUAGCUGGAAUAAGUAGUGUAGCGGUGAAAUGCAUAGAUAUUACUUAGAACACCAAUUGCGAAGGCAGGUUACUAAGCAACAACUGACGCUGAUGGACGAAAGCGUGGGGAGCGAACAGGAUUAGAUACCCUGGUAGUCCACGCCGUAAACGAUGCUAACUCGUUUUUGGGAUGCAAGUUUC